AAGUCGUAACAAGGUUUCCGUAGGUGAACCUGCGGAAGGAUCAUUAACACGUAUCCAAACGUUAAAACCCCCCCCGUGAACCUUCAUCCUGCUCUUGUAACCCGCGUAGUUCGCAAUCUCUGAUAAAUCAUAGGCCGGAAAGUUGUAGUGAUUCAGAGACCUCGAACAGUUACAAUCGAGCGGUUCUAUAGGCAAUGUUUCCCCAAGCAGUCAGUGUCGGAAAGUGUCAUUGAUUGUGCAAGGAUAGCGCUUCUACGAUUCCUGCAGACCGUACACUCGGGCAGGAGCUUUGUCAAAUUACCCCACAGUUUAAUGUGAAGCUCAAUGUAAUACAUUGGGUAAAAAAACCGAACAACUGUUAACAAUGGAUAUCUUGGUUCUC
rnacentral:misc_RNA from 1 species